GCUCGGCUCCUCCGAGCGCUGCCGGCGCAGGCCCUGCUCCUCCGCGCGGAUCCGCAGCGCCGCGGGGCCAGGAACGACGCAGCGCACCGGCAGCAUGCAAGGCUUCUGCGGUGGCACUUGCGCCGUGGGAGGUGCAGGCUCCGGGCCUGGCGACUCUGUGCUCGUCAGGGCCAGCCCCGACGGCACGCUGGCGGGUCGGGCUAGCUCCGAGGACCGAGGUAGCGCCGGAUCCUCCGGCCCCCCGGGCUGUGGCGCUGAGCCUGAUGGCGCCUCAACCUGGGUGACCUCUGAGGGUAGGGUCUCAGGGGUGUGCUGUAGCUCGGAUGGUGCGGACGAGUCCUCCGGCGGUUCUCCUGAUCGCUGUGGGGAGUGGGGAGCCCCGGGGGCACAGUUGUCCUCCGCUGGGACAGCAGCGCACUGGGCCAGCGCGGCUGGCACUCCAGGGCUGGAGGGGAGUGGGGCCUCGGGUCCUUCCGGCGGCCGGGGCUUCUUUCUCAGCACCACGAACUUGACCCCAUCCAGCUCCUUCACCACGGCCACGUUGUUGACGAACUGCUUGAAGCGGUCCCUACGGGCCGCGCGGCCCCGUGGGUCCCCAGCGUCCAGCAGCGGCUUGAAGCGGCUCAGCAGCUCGGAGUUGCGCACCUGCCCGCCGUGCUCCCGCAGGAAGCCCAACACCGCCGCCUGGCUCACCCCUGCGGCAGCAGCGGCGGCAGCGGCGGCGGCUGCCAGCGCCAUUCUCGGUGUCUGCGACUCCGGGGUCGCCCCAGCCGCCCAGCCGGGCUCACCUGGGACUCUGAUUUCCGAAACUGGACUGCAGUCACGCCCUCGCCGCCGUGCUGAGAAGUCUCCGGGCGAAGGGCACCUGGGACUCCUAUCCUCCGCCUGCGCCAGGCCUGGCCCCCAGACUGGGGGGUAGGUUGCUGCUGAGAGGUCCUGUCCAAUGGGCGCCAGGCUCCAUGCCCCUGUGCGGCGCUCGGCUUACAGGUGACAGCUGCCACUGGAGGUGCGGAGGGAAUGGGAAAGCGGAACCUCUCUGCACUGCCCCCACCAAUUAAAGGCGGAAUUAAAGGCGCAGCGUUGCUCUUCAGCUCCACUCCCGGUUGCUAGGUCAGAAAGAAGAUAACUUGAGACAUUGGUUCGGCUUUCCAUCAUUACAUGGGCUCUGGAGUGCAAAUUCACAUCAUCUGGUUUGGUGGCAGGCACCUUUACUCACUGAGCCAUUCCAAAAAUACCCCCUUUAUUUUUGUCUCUAUAUGAAGUUCAAGUUGGUCUGGAACUUGUGCUGUCACCGCCUCAGUCCUGAGUGCUAGGAUUAUAGGGUUCCUCUGAAUAGUCUUGGUUGUCCUGAAACUCACUCUAUAGACCAGGAUAGACUGGAACAGCAAUAUCUGCCUACCUCGGCCUCCCAACUGCUGGGAUUAAAGGUAGGCACCAUCAUUGUGGCUAGUAUCUUUUCUUUUUAAUUUUUAAAAAUUUUCAUUUAAUUUUGUGUGUUAUGUCUUGCGCUACAUGCAUGCCUCGUGCCAACAGAGGCCAGAAGAGGGCUUCAGAUCCCAGAAGCAGGAGCUAUGAAAGGUUAGGAGCUGCCACAGUAGCUGGGAACUGGACUGAGGUCCUCCGGAAGGUCAGCCAAUGUUCCUAACCACUGAGCCUCCUUUCCAGCCCCAUUAGCUCCUUAUUUUAUGUUAUCAAUGUUUUUCCAGUUGUCAUUUGUCUUUUAAUUUUGUUUUCUGUUGACACUCAUUUUAGAAAACUGGUCUUCUUUGUAAGUCUUUUUCACUGAAAGUUAUAAAUGUAAAACAAGAAGGUAUCUCUGCGCUGAAGAAAUAGCUCAGCGGUUAAGAACACAGGCUGCUCUUCUAAAGAUCCUGAGUUCAAUUCCCUGCAACCCACAUGGUGGCUCACAACCAUCUGUCAUGGGAUCCGAUGCCCUCUUCUGGUGUGUCUGAAGGCAGCUGCAGUGUGUACUCAUAUACAUAAAAUAAAUAAAUAAAUAAAUAAAUAAAUCAUUAAAUAAAAAGAAAAAUAAAUCAAUAAAGAGAAAGUAUCUUUACCAUGUAAAAGAACAUUUAGGACAAACGUCUCCUGUAUUAAUCAAUCAACAUAAAGAGUGAAACCAACAUACUUGAGAGAAAAUUUUGUGUAUUUCAACAUACUAAUUUAUUUUUUAUCUAUUUUGUCUGUAUAUAUGCAUGAGUGUCUCUGUCAGGGGACAAGUCUCAGGAGUCAGGAAUCCUCUUCCGGUGAAACUCUCAGAAACCAGUUUCUCCUGCCACCGCACUGAAGUCUCAGAAGUUACUGGCUGCUUUUUCAAAGGACCCAUGUUUGAUUCCAAAUACCCACGUGGUGACUCAGAACCAUCUGUAGCUCCAAGGCCAGGGAAUCUGAUGCCCUCUUCUUAUCUUUGUGGGCUUGUUGACAAGCACCUUUAUCUAUCAGGCCAUCUUGCUAGCCCGGUCCAUAUUACUUUUUCUUGAAAU